rnacentral:rRNA from 1 species
CCUACGGGAGGCAGCAGUGGGGAAUAUUGGACAAUGGGCGAAAGCCUGAUCCAGCCAUGCCGCGUGUGUGAAGAAGGUCUUCGGAUUGUAAAGCACUUUAAGUUGGGAGGAAGGGCAUUUACNUAAUACGUAGUGUUUUGACGUUACCGACAGAAUAAGCCCG